GUAUACAUGACACUGCAUACAUGACGCUUUUUAUGAAAAAGCGUCAUGUAUGAGCGCCUUUUUGGUAUACAUGACGUUUUGAAAAAAAAACGUCAUGUAUGCAGUGUCAUGUAUAGAAUACAUGACGCUGGGUUGACACUUUUAGAAAAAGUGUCAUGUAUGAGCGUCAUUUAUUCAUAGUAUACAUGACAUUCACUGUAAAACGUCAUGUAUGUGCGUUAUUUUAAAUGCUAUACAUGACAUUUAUUCAAAUUGUCAUGUAUGUGGCUAAACAAAUUGUCAUUAAUUGUAAUAUUCUUGACAUUUGGUAUAAAACGUCAAUUAUAUUUAAAACAAGUGUCAUAUAUGUGCAUUAAUUUGAAAGGGAAAAAGAAUAAGGAUAUUCACUACUAAAUUUUUAUUUAUGUGACUGCGUCUCUAUUUUUCCCUCUUCACUCUUCUUUCACUCUCUUCUCACUCAGCGUCGUCCUCCAUCUCUCUUUCUCCGGCGUCUUCGCCGGUUCUCACAGCCACCGGCAUGGCGAACGCCGCUGGUGCUAUCCCUCUUUGUCUCUUCCUUAUUUCUCUGUGCUAAUUUUAAUCCUAAUUUCUUUAUAGAUCUGUAAACCCUAAUUUCCUCGACGAUUCUCAAUCUCCCUCUCGAUUCUCGUCCGUCCGGCGGAUAUCGCCGCCGUUGUCGUACUACCGCGCCUUCACACCAUUUGGACCGCUCUUCACGCACUAUGGUACUUCUCUAUAUUCUCUCUCUCUCUCUCUCUCUCUCUCUCUCUCGCUCGCGGCCCUGUUUGUUUGUCUCCUUCACGGCGGCCGUCGCGCCUCAAGAAGAACCGGCGGUCAUCGCCUCCAGCCCGACCUCUUCCGCGGUGGGUUGCAGCCGAGCCGCUGGUGUCCUUUCUUUUUUCUAAUAAUUUUGGAAUAUUGGCUACAAUUUUGUUGUCGCUUAUUUGUUGAUAAAGUGUGUCUUCGUUCUAUACUAUGGUAUUUAUUGAUUGUUUGUUGGAGCUCUCAUACUUUGAUGAGACUAGUCGUAAGCUAGAUUUCAUGUCCUUGGUAAGAUUAUUUCAUGAGAAAUGUUGUUGCAAAUGUAUUCCUUUUGAUUUUGUUGCAGUCACUGAGGAUGCUGAGUAUGGGUAAUAUGUCUUUCAUUUUUGUAUAGUAAAAGCACUUUCGACCAUUGCAUCCUUGGCUGGAUAGCCCUUUGUUGAAACUGAUAUUUAUGCCAAUUUUGCACCAUCUUAUUUGCUUUGCCUGCACUUUACUAUUUCUGCACUUCAGUUUGUUCCAAAAAAUGCAAGAAAUGUAUAGUCAAAUUUUGCAUUGGAGUGUUCUCAGUAGCCAGUAGUAAUUAAUUGAUGGAUUUAUUGGAUUGAUUGGCCCCCUCCCCCUACCCAAAAUCCAUUUCGCUGCUUGCUUAAAGAAAUUUAGACCCAAGGUAGCAACAGGUUCUCCCAUGUUUUACUAGACUAAUAUAAAUCAGGCUUUAGCUUUCAAAUAAAUGUUCCACUGUAAUAUGCCUUUUAUUAAUGCAGGUCCAUAUUAGCAUGGGAUGUCAGCCCAAUCAUUUGCAGUUUUACCACAAGUUGAUAAUUGUAAUGGUACCCAAUGUUAAUGUAUCACUUAUUUUGAUAAUCGUUCUAAAUCUCUCUCAUUUUGUAGGUCAGGUAGUUCCAGUUGCAAAACUAAAUAUUAAGCUUCAGGUUGCUCCUAUUAUUCCUCAUCCACACGUGAAAAGGAAAGCAAUUGCAAAUCCCAGAGCACUUUCAGGUCAAUGGAGGAAAAUCAGUCCACAACCUGCUAUUAGUGACUCUAUACCUCAACAAAGGCAGAGCAUUCCAGCUAGUCCAGCUCCUAUUAAUAUUCCACCUGCGCCUCUUCGUGUAAAAUGGAAAGGUAGGUGUCCUGUUAGCAGUUUUAGAUACAUUAAUUGCGCAUUGGAAUGAAAGAAACAAGUUGUUAGAUCAGGCAUAGCAGAGGAGAUAAUUUACGUAAAAUCAUGACUUAGGCUUAUUAGCUAGGCCAUAAUUUCCUGGAUUUAAAUGUCUUGAUAUUAGUGAAAAUUUUAUGGAAGAACUUCACUACGGAUGAUAUUGGUGAGCCUCAGGAAGAGUCUCCAAUUAGUAAUAUAUGUUUAUAGAUUAAGUAAAUCUCGUAGAAACUCAAGCUUAGAAUUUGUAUAUUUAGGAUCAUGAAUUUUGUAAUUAUGCUUUGAAUGAAGGGAACAUUGAUCUAAGUGACAAUACUAUUUUAGACAUCUCUAACUGUCUCUAUUAUUGGAAUACUAAUAAGUUUUUAAAAUCCUCUGUUGUAACUUAAAUUUGUCUUCUGCCACAUUAAACUAAUUUUUCCUUAUGUGAUACCAGAUAUGAUCUGCAAAAAAUGGUUGUGUCUUCAUCAGACAAACACAAAGGGACUGAAUAACUGUGUGCCUUAUAAUAUAGGGCUUAAAACAUAUUUCAUCUAUCGAAGACUAAAUAACUCAGUUUGUAUUUAGUAAGGCAGUUUUCAAUGUUUAGUGGGUUGUAUUGAGCUUCUAUUUUCCGGCUAAAGAUUGAAUUGGUUCAUCAUUGAAUACUUACUGGUCUUGUGGAUUAGAGCCACAAACAAUUCUUGGCCUAUAGGCCAGCUUGUUAGAGGAAGGGAGCUUUAUAUGGUCUAGAAAAGGCAGGGAGAACCUUCUGUAUGCCACUGAUGCUGCUGAGAAGUUCAGUGAAAGGUAGCAAUUUCUUUUCUUUGAUGGUGCGAAUUUAUACAAGGUACUUUUCAUACAAAAGGUAUGAUUUUCACUAAUUGGUUGUCUUUUCUUUUAUUGUGCCAUCAGAUAAUUGGAAAUUAUCAGUUUCUAUUUCAUAUUAUGUUGAUAAAAGAUCUCAGUGUAGUUUUAGACUAUUCUCCAUCAGAAGGGCGAGUUACUUGGUAAUGAGAACAUUAAUAGAGUUAUAAUGUGGAAGAAAGCUAGAGUGAAAAGAGAUAAGACCGUUGAGAAUGAAGACUUAAAGAAAGCAAGGUGGAAAUGAAGAUUUAAAGAAAGCAAGGUGGAAAUGAAAACUUAAAGAAAGCAAGGUGGGAGCAUUGAGAAUGAAGACUUGUAGCUUUUUGUAUGGAUGUUGGAGAUGUUGUAAAAUAAUAGAUCUUUUGUGGAUGUUGGAUGAUUGAUUAUUAUAGAUGAUUAAAUGACAUCUUCAAUAUGUAUAAAUUUAUUAUUUUUACAA